ensembl:lncRNA
UUGUGCAUGUUAUCGAGGGCAGUCAGCACUGAUUUUGUUGUGUGUUUUUUUGGGUUAAGGGUGAUUCCUAGGAUGUGUGGAAGGAGCAAGGCGUCUGCCAGCCUGAAGGUGGCAUUGCAGGGCUGUGGAUGCAUCCUUGGGGAUGGAAGGUGCUGGGAACUGCUGGUGGCUCUGAUCCCGCCCAGCUCUGCCUUGGGGUCUUCUGAGCAGGCACCAAAACUGCCCUGAAAUAGACGAUGUAGAGAAUUUCCUCCUCAGCAUCUCAAACAUGCUGCUUUUCGUGUGACUUGUUUAUGAUACUCAAGGAUAAGCAAGAGCAGAGUCAGCUGUCCCUACAGUCAACGUAUUUCCAGCAAUGGCAGAACAAGGUGACAUCCAUCUCCAUUUUUAAAUGGCUUCGUGGCCAGAAAAGAUUGGUUUUGUUUUGUGAACAAAUAUUGCUUUGAAGGAAUCCCUCUUUCCCCCAGUUUCAUCCCCAGGAAAGAGAGAAAAAGUACCUGAAUGUGAGCUCCAGCUUCCUGGGGACAGGCAGAAACCAGAGGCUGGAGAUGACAGUCACCCACUAAGCCACUUCAGUGUGUAGUGCAGAUGCCAUCCUACAUUGCAACAACCACUCUUCUGGGACCAUCACUGCCUGAGUCACCUCCUCAUAAAGCUGCUCCCAGAUUCAUGUUUUCCACAGCUACUUCACAUCCUAUAAUAGAGGUUUUACUAUUCAAAUGCUGUUGUGCUCUCUUUCCAUACCACUACACACACUGGUGAAGAAAAGAGAUUAAAGAGAUGGUGAAGAAAAGCCAUAAACGGAUUUAGGUACAGAAGUCACAGUUAUGGCUUUGAAAGCUGUACCCAGCCAGCAGUGGAAGUGUGUGCAUCCCUGUGGUUUGGGUAGUAAGGAUCUCUAGGGAGCUGUCUGUCUACCUAGGGAAUAGGAUCCUGAAUCCUCUUUGGGGAGGUCUAAACCUGGCUAUAUUCGUAUUGAGGGCAUGGCCUCAGUUUGGGACUGACGCACAAAACAAAAACCGAAGUCAGAGCACUAAGGUUAAAACAGGCUGUUUUUCACACAUCAAAGUUUGAAAUGAAGAAAUACAGAUUGGCUCCAGUCCUGGAUUUUUUAUCCCACGUUUAUCACGGAUGGUGAUGAGGACAAACCACAGGAGGACCACGAGUGUGGUUGUGUUUCCAAUAACCCACAGAUUAUUACACCUGGACAACUGCGGCUUCUUUAAUCCUCCACUCGAAGUAAAUCAAUACAUUUUGUAGUUUGCACCUCUGGAAGCUCGUAGGCUCUGCUGGGUACCUCGGGAGCAUUUUCUGGGUUAAAAUGUUCUGCUCAUUCAGCUUCUGGCAUUAGCAAUCUCCUGUAAAUGACUGUAUGAAGAGUCAGAAAUGUUUCCCUUUCCCUGUUAUCAAGCACAAAAGGCCGGGGUCCAUCCUGCUGACAGAAAUGCUGUCUGCAACCUGCUCUCCAGUUGGUAUGGGAUUUUUGUGCAUUAAGGAGACUGAUGCUUUUUUUAACAUCAGUCUCAUCAACCACCUCUUCUGGGUACCAAGUAUCUAAAUAUCUUCUCAAUACCAUCUCUUUGCCCAGAGAGGCGGUGGAUG